rnacentral:rRNA from 1 species
CCUACGGGUGGCAGCAGUCGAGAAUCAUUCACAAUGGGGGAAACCCUGAUGGUGCGACGCCGCGUGGGGGAAUGAAGGUCUUCGGAUUGUAAACCCCUGUCAUGUGGGAGCAAAUUAAAAAGAUAGUACCACAAGAGGAAGAGACGGCUAACUCUGUGCCAGCAGCCGCGGUAAUACAGAGGUCUCAAGCGUUGUUCGGAAUCACUGGGCGUAAGGCGUGCGUAGGCUGUUUUGUAAGUCGUGUGUGAAAGGCGCGGGCUCAACCCGCGGACGGCACAUGAUACUGCGAGACUAGAGUAAUGGAGGGGGAACCGGAAUUCUCGGUGUAGCAGUGAAAUGCGUAGAUAUCGAGAGGAACACUCGUGGCGAAGGCGGGUUCCUGGACAUUAACUGACGCUGAGGCACGAAGGCCAGGGGAGCGAAAGGGAUUAGAUACCCCUGUAGUC